AAGCGUUGGCAGCUCUUUUAGAAUUUGUCUAGCAGGUUUUCUGAUUUUCACUAGAGGUCCCCC
ensembl:snRNA U7 U7 small nuclear RNA